UACGUAGGGCGCAAGCGUUAUCCGGAAUUAUUGGGCGUAAAGAGCUCGUAGGCGGUUUGUCGCGUCUGCCGUGAAAGUCCGGGGCUCAACUCCGGAUCUGCGGUGGGUACGGGCAGACUAGAGUGAUGUAGGGGAGACUGGAAUUCCUGGUGUAGCGGUGAAAUGCGCAGAUAUCAGGAGGAACACCGAUGGCGAAGGCAGCUCUCUGGUACAUGAUUGACGCUGAGACGCGAAAGCGUGGGUAGCAAACAGG
rnacentral:rRNA from 1 species